UACAUGGGGUGCAAACGUUGCUCGGAAUUAUUGGGCGUAAAGCGCGCGUAGGCGGUUACUUAAGUCGGAUGUGAAAGCCCUCGGCUUAACUGAGGAAGUGCACCCGAAACUGAGUAGCUAGAGUACGAAAGAGGGUCGCGGAAUUCCCGGUGUAGAGGUGAAAUUCGUAGAUAUCGGGAGGAGCACCUGUGGCGAAAGCGGCGCACUGGACCAUAACUGACGCUGAGGCGCGAAAGCUAGGGGAGCAAACAGG
rnacentral:rRNA from 1 species